rnacentral:rRNA from 1 species
AGAGCGAACGCUGGCGGCAGGCUUAACACAUGCAAGUCGAGCGGGCGUAGCAAUACGUCAGCGGCAGACGGGUGAGUAACGCGUGGGAACGUACCUUUUGGUUCGGAACAACACAGGGAAACUUGUGCUAAUACCGGAUAAGCCCUUACGGGGAAAGAUUUAUCGCCGAAAGAUCGGCCCGCGUCUGAUUAGCUAGUUGGUGAGGUAACGGCUCACCAAGGCGACGACGGGUAGCUGGU